rnacentral:rRNA from 14 species
AGUGUCAAAAGGGCGUUUAGUGGAUGCCUUGGCAUGUAGAGGCGAUGAAGGACGUGGCACGCUGCGAUAAGUCUCGGGGAGUUGCGAGCAGACUUUGAUCCGAGAAUUUCCGAAUGGGGAAACCCACCGUUUCGGCGGUAUCGCACACUGAAUACAUAGGUGUGCGAGGCAAACCCGGGGAACUGAAACAUCUAAGUACCCGGAGGAAAGGA